UGGACCAGUGUGCAGAAGGCUCCGGGAACUGCAGAUUAUGGUUAAUCCAAUUCUGGGCACCUGAGGUCCAUA
rnacentral:snoRNA from 10 species